rnacentral:rRNA from 1 species
AGAUUGAACGCUGGCGGCGUGCCUAACACAUGCAAGUCGAGCGGCAGCGCGGUAGCAAUACUGGCGGCGAGCGGCGAACGGGUGAGUAAUACUUUGGAAUCUUCCCAGUAGUGGGGAAUAACCAGUCGAAAGAUUGGCUAAUACCGCAUACGUCUGAAAAGGGAAAGCGGGGGCUCGUAAGACCUCGCGCUAUUGGAUGAGCCAAAGUCGGAUUAGCUAGUUGGUGGGGUAAUGGCCUACCAAGGCGACAAUCCGUAGCUGGUCUGAGAGGACGACCAGCCACACCGGAACUGAGACACGGUCCGGACUCCUACGGGAGGCAGCAGUGGGGAAUAUUGGACAAUGGGGGAAACCCUGAUCCAGCGACGCCGCGUGUGUGAAGAAGGCCCUAGGGUUGUAAAGCUCUUUUGUGCGGGAAGAUAAUGACGGUACCGCAAGAAUAAGCCCGGCUAACUUCGUGCCAGCAGCCGU